CAGCCGCCGCGGGAAUACGUAGGUGGCAAGCGUUGUCCGGAAUUAUUGGGCGUAAAGGGCUCGCAGGCGGUUUCUUAAGUCUGAUGUGAAAGCCCCCGGCUCAACCGGGGAGGGUCAUUGGAAACUGGGAAACUUGAGUGCAGAAGAGGAGAGUGGAAUUCCACGCGUAGCGGUGAAAUGCGUAGAGAUGUGGAGGAACACCAGUGGCGAAGGCGACUCUCUGGUCUGUAACUGACGCUGAGGAGCGAAAGCGUGGGGAGCGAACAGGAUUAGAGACCCCUGUAGUCCCUGUCUCUUAUAA
rnacentral:rRNA from 1 species